rnacentral:rRNA from 1 species
AGAGUUUGAUCAUGGCUCAGGACGAACGCUGGCGGUAUGCCUAACACAUGCAAGUCGAACGAAAAACGAGGGCUUGCUCUCGUUUUUAGUGGCGCACGGGUGAGUAACGCGUGAGUAAUCUGCCUUAAAGUGGGGGACAACAUUUGGAAACGAAUGCUAAUACCGCGUAAUAUACAGUUUUCGCAUGGAUUUUGUAUUAUAGAUUUAUCGCUUUAAGAUGAGCUCGCGUCCGAUUAGCUUGUUGGCGAGGUAAAUGCUCACCAAGGCGACGAUCGGUAGCCGGGUUGAGAGACUGAACGGCCACAUUGGAACUGAGACACGGUCCAGACUCCUACGGGAGGCAGCAGUGGGGAAUAUUGCACAAUGGGGGAAACCCUGAUGCAGCAAUACCGCGUGAGGGACGAAGGCUCUAGGGUUGUAAACCUCUGUUUAAAGGGAUGAAUUUCUGACAGUACCUUUAGAGGAAGCUCCGGCUAACUACGUGCCAGCAGCCGCGGUAAUACGUAGGGAGCAAGCGUUGUCCGGAUUUACUGGGUGUAAAGGGUGCGUAGGUGGUUUUGUGGGUCAGGCGUGAAAUUUAGAGGCUCAACCUCUGAACUGCGUUUGAAACUAUAAGACUUGAGUUAAGUAGGGGCAGAUGGAAUUCCCGGUGUAGCGGUGAAAUGCGUAGAUAUCGGGAGGAAUACCUGUGGCGAAGGCGAUCUGCUGGGCUUUUACUGACACUGAGGCACGAAAGCGUGGGUAGCAAACAGGAUUAGAUACCCUGGUAGUCCAUGCCGUAAACGAUGAUUACUAGGUGUGGGGGGUCUGACCCCCUCCGUGCCGCAGUUAACACAUUAAGUAAUCCACCUGGGAAGUACGACCGCAAGGUUAAAACUCAAAGGAAUUGACGGGGACCCGCACAAGCAGUGGAGUAUGUGGUUUAAUUCGAAGAUACGCGAAAAACCUUACCAGGUUUUGACAUCCUAAGAAUUCGUUAGAAAUAACGAAGUGCCCCUUCGGGGGAACUUAGUGACAGGUGGUGCAUGGUUGUCGUCAGCUCGUGUCGUGAGAUGUUGGGUUAAGUCCCGCAACGAGCGCAACCCUUACGAUUAGUUGCUAACAGUUCGGCUGAGCACUCUAGUGGGACUGCCGCUGACAAAGCGGGGGAAGGUGGGGAUGACGUCAAAUCAUCAUGCCCUUUAUAACCUGGGCUACACGCGUACUACAAUGGUCAUUAACAACGGGCAAGCUCGCAAGAGUGAGGGAAUCCUUAAAAAUGGCCUCAGUUCAGAUUGUAGGCUGAAACUCGCCUAUAUGAAGACGGAAUUGCUAGUAAUCGCAAAUCAGCAUGUUGCGGUGAAUACGUUCACGGGUCUUGUACACACCGCCCGUCACACCAUGGGAGCCGGUAAUACCCGAAGUCGGUGUCUUGACCUUUUAGGAGAGAGCCGCCGAAGGUAGGAUUGGCGACUGGGGUGAAGUCGUAACAAGGUAGCC